rnacentral:rRNA from 1 species
AGUGAACGCUGGCGGUAGGCCUAACACAUGCAAGUCGAACGGCAGCACAGUAAGAGCUUGCUCUUACGGGUGGCGAGUGGCGGACGGGUGAGGAAUACAUCGGAAUCUACUUUUUCGUGGGGGAUAACGUAGGGAAACUUACGCUAAUACCGCAUACGACCUACGGGUGAAAGCAGGGGAUCUUCGGACCUUGCGCGAUUGAAUGAGCCGAUGUCGGAUUAGCUAGUUGGCGGGGUAAAGGCCCACCAAGGCGACGAUCCGUAGCUGGUCUGAGAGGAUGAUCAGCCACACUGGACCUGAGACACGGUCCAGACUCCUACGGGAGGCAGCAGUGGGGAAUAUUGGACAAGGGGCGCAAGCCUGAUCCAGCCAUACCGCGUGGGUGAAGAAGGCCUUCGGGUUGUAAAGCCCUUUUGUUGGGAAAGAAAAGCAGCAGGUUAAUACCCCGCUGUUCUGACGGUACCAAAGAAUAAGCACCGGCUAACUUCGUG